GAUGAACGCUGGCGGCGUGCUUAACACAUGCAAGUCGAACGAUGAAGCCCAGCUGGCUGCGUGGAUUAGUGGCAAACGGGUGAGUAACACGUGAGUAUACUGCACUUGACUCUGGGAUAGGCCCGGGAAACUGGGACUAAUACUGGAUAUGACUUCUAAUCUCAUGGUGGGGGGUGGAAAGAUUUAGUGGUCUUGGUUGGAGUCGCGGCUUAUCAGAUUGUUGGUGAGGUAAUGGCUAACUAAGGCGACGGCGGGUAGCCGGCCUGAGAGGGUGACCGGCCACACUGGGACUGAGACACGGCCCAGACUCCUACGGGAGGCAGCGGUGGGGAAUAUUGCACAAUGGGCGCAAGCCGGAUGCAGCGACGCCGCGUUAGGGAUGACGGCCUUCCGGUUGUAAACCUCUUUCAGUAGGGAAGAAGCGAGAUUGACGGUACCUGCAGAAGAAGCUCCGGCUAACUACGUG
rnacentral:rRNA from 1 species